UGUUGCGACUCUGGUCCCCAAGAGGUGGAUUUUGGUGUCCUGCAGUUUUCCACCUAUAUCCUCCUCUACUUCAGUUGUUGGACCAGCAGGCUGGGGGUUGAGCCAAGC